rnacentral:tRNA from 1 species
GGCCCCAUCGUCUAGCCUGGUCCAGGACAUCAGAUUUUCAUUCUGGUAACAGGGGUUCGAAUCCCCUUGGGGUCAC